rnacentral:piRNA from 1 species
UAACGUAUUGAUUACUAGGUU